rnacentral:rRNA from 1 species
GACGAACGCUGGCGGCGUGCUUAACACAUGCAAGUCGAGCGGUAAGGCCCUUUCGGGGGUACACGAGCGGCGAACGGGUGAGUAACACGUGGGUGACCUGCCCUCAGCCCUGGGAUAAGCCCGGGAAACUGGGUCUAAUACCGGAUAUGACUCCAUGACGCAUGUUGUGGGGUGGAAAGCCUUGUGCGGCUGAGGAUGGGCCCGCGGCCUAUCAGCUUGUUGGUGGGGUGAUGGCCACCAAGGCGACGACGGGUAGCCGGCCUGAGAGGGCGACCGGCCACACUGGGACUGAGAUACGGCCCAGACUCCUACGGGAGGCAGCAGUGGGGAAUCUUGCGCAAUGGGCGAAAGCCUGACGCAGCGACGCCGCGUGAGGGAUGACGGCC